CCCUGUGGGCCGCCGGGCCGGGCUCGCCCGCACCUCCGGGGCGCUGACUCAGCCGCAGCCGCCCUCCCCGCCCUCCCCGCCCUCCCCGCCGAGCCGGGCCUGCGCUGCGCCCCGCGCCCCAGCCCCACCGCCCGGGACCCGCGAGCGCACGGGACGGCCUCGCCAGCUUGCAGGGGCCUCUAAAUCCUUUUGUGGGUCUCCCGGAGCUUCCCCGGAUUCCAGCCAGAGGAGUACCUGGCUUGGCACCGCAAUGCCGUCUUACUCCUUGAUGUCAAAUCUGUGUCCAGUGGAUGAGGGGGUCUGUGCCUAGCAGCUGGGGGGUUCAAGUCCCCUGUGAGUCCUUCUGCGACCAGAGGCUCCCCUGGAGAGGAAUUGUAGUAACCUGAUGUGUGGUCCUUGCAAACCUCAGAAUAAAGCCAAACACCCAAGGCUGUAGAUGUGACUUACAAAUUGGAGUUGGGUGAAGGUUCCAUUUUCAAGGAUGGCUCAGCAUAAGACCAGCUUUGAGGACCCACUGGGAGGGAAGCUUUGCCAGCAAACAGUUAUUUCUGGAAAACUGCUCUGAAACCAGUAACUUCACAUUUAUCCAAAAGAGAAAUUGAGGGGAAUGGCUGCCUUCUUUGCUGGGUUGUUGUGGGGACUCAUCGGUGACGACGUAUGUGAGCCUAUCACACUGCAGGUGUUUUAUAAAAGAAGCCUUGUGAACCUUCCCUCUCGUGGUCUGCCCUGUGUCACCGUCGACCUCGGAGCUCAGGGGAGACUCCUCUGCAUGUUCUUGAACAUGUCCCUUAAUGGCUGCACGUUUCUGGAGGGGUCCUUGCUGUGCCCCCAAGGUCAAGGACCUUCCAAGCCCUUCCUGGCGGAGCCUCCUCAGGGAACUCCUUUCAAGGGCAAUAUAAAAGGACACUGUCCUCCAUGGGAAGAGAUCAGGUUGGGAUUCCUAAUCCCAAAAUCCCCAGCCCUCCUCCACCUAUGGCCUGAGCAUGUUUCGGCGAGGCCCCGGUGGCACAAAGGGGCUCCUGCAUGAGCAGGCACCCCCAAGUACACCUGCAGUUCAGCCUCAAGCCCCUGUGGUCCUGUCCUUCCUGGGCACAGCCCAGGACUGCUGUUCCCUCUUGCUUGAGUCCAGGCUGAAAGCAGAGCAGGUGCUCCCUGGCCCUCUCCAUCACCAUUCCCGUGGCAAGGAUGGGUACCGAUGGAGGGAGGACACAGCACGUACCCACUUAGACCAGAGCUUCUUCUACUUCCCCACUGAAAACCACCAAUGACCCCCAAAGGAGUGUGCCCCCAACAAAGCCCUCA